rnacentral:rRNA from 1 species
GGGUCAGUAGGUUGGUCGUGCCACCGGUACGUACUGGUCUCACUGAUUCCUCCUUCCUGAAGAACCGUAAUGCCAUUAAGUUGGUGUUGCGGGGAAACAGGACUGUUACUUUGAAAAAAUUAGAGUGUUUAGAGCAAGCUAACGCUUGAAUACAUUAGCAUGGAAUAAUGAAAUAGGACGAUCGAUCCUAUUUUGUUGGUUUCUAGGAUUGACGUA